rnacentral:rRNA from 1 species
GUCUACAGCCAUGCCACUCUGAACGUGCCCGAUCUUGUCUGAUAUUGGAAGCUAAGCAGGGUCGGGCCUGGUUAGUACUUGGAUGGAAGACCGCCUAGGAAUACCAGGUGCUGCAGGCA